UGGGGUGUCCCAAUAGAUUGGGCAAAUAGAUUUUGUGUGAGCUGACCCGUUUAAAUUCUUCUCUUAAAACCUAAGUGGGGUGACUCAUUUGCUAUGCUUCUUCCUUCUCUUCUCAUCCCAAAUUGAAACCCUUCUCCAAACUCUCCAUCGGCCAUAAUCUCCUAAAUCCAUCCCCUUAUCCGUCCAAAAAUCUUUGAUUUCUACCUCAAAAUCUAGGAUAAACAUAUUCUCUCGGCAUAUCUUUGAUCAAAGCCCUCUCCUUCUUGCUCUCCAUCAAAACCUUAAGCUCUAAUCUCAAAAAUCUAAGACAAUCACCUUAAAAUUCCUUACUUC
rnacentral:lncRNA from 1 species